rnacentral:lncRNA from 1 species
GUCAGCUUUGUGCACAUAGACCGAAUCUGCCCACGGACAUACAGAAUUAAAUAAAACAGUAGAAGAAAUACCGAGAACUCGAUCAAUAUUUACUUAACAAAGUAGAUUUGCUUGGAAAAAUUAACUUUAGCUGUGUUGUCACAGUAAGAGUGACAGUUCCCAGCUCUGGGUUCUGUGGGAGAACAGAUAAUAGGGCUGCAAAUAUAAGGAAAGCAUUCUUUGAGAGGUGCAGGUGACGCUAGAGUAGAUUGGAGGUGUAUGGAGCAUGGCUGGGUGUCAGCCAGCCAGCUCCUUUUCCUUGUCGAGUAGCUGCUUCAAAUUCUCUUGGCUUCUGAGUCUGUCCACGUGCAGUCAAGACUAGCAAUUUGUGAGAUGAACCUGCAGUGACAGCUUUCUGGGUCCAGGAACUUCACCAUCUGUAAUGGGCACCUGGUUUCUAGAAGAGGUGAUGCAUGAGCCAUUCCUGUUCUCUUGGAUGACAAACAAGGACGUUGCUCCAGGAGCAAAGGGGAUCCCUUCGCAUGGUCAGGAGGUAACAGAUGUGGGUGAGUUGGGUCUGGGCCCAGAGGACUAACUCUGACACUAGCUGAUUGAAAAAAAAAAAGUGGUCCCAUCAUUCAUCUUAACUCUUGGCCUUGCCUAGAGCAUGCUGAAAUGUUAAAAGUUGGAAGAUUCUGUGUUAUUAGCCCAUAGGAAAUGAGUUAAGGAAAAAUUCGUAUUGCAGAUGAAAGAAGGGAUAACUAAGGACCAAAUUCCUUGGGAAGGGAUGAGAUCUAGAAAAUACAUUGAAGGAUUGACCUUUGAUAGGAAAGGAAGCUGUUUCCUCAGUUGCUAAAGGAGGGCAAAGAUAGACAGUGGUAUGGGUGCAGGUAAGUUUGUAAAUCUGGUGGUGGGAA